AUUGAACGCUGGCGGCAGGCCUAACACAUGCAAGUCGAACGGUAGCACAGAGGAGCUUGCUCCUUGGGUGACGAGUGGCGGACGGGUGAGUAAUGUCAGGGAAACUGCCCGAUGGAGGGGGAUAACUACUGGAAACGGUAGCUAAUACCGCAUAACGUCGCAAGACCAAAGAGGGGGACCUUCGGGCCUCUUGCCAUCGGAUGUGCCCAGAUGGGAUUAGCUAGUAGGUGGGGUAACGGCCCACCUAGGCGACGAUCCCUAGCUGGUCUGAGAGGAUGACCAGCCACCCUGGAACUGAGACACGGUCCAGACUCCUACGGGAGGCAGCAGUGGGGAAUAUUGCACAAUGGGCGCAAGCCUGAUGCAGCCAUGCCGCGUGUAUGAAGAAGGCCUUCGGGUUGUAAAGUACUUUCAGCGAGGAGGAAGGUGUUGAGUUUAAUAACCUCAGCAAUUGACGUUACUCGCAGAAGAAGCACCGGCUAACUCCGUGCCAGCCGCCGCCGUAA
rnacentral:rRNA from 1 species